rnacentral:rRNA from 1 species
UACGAAGGGGGCUAGCGUUGUUCGGAAUCACUGGGCGUAAAGGGCGCGUAGGCGGCUUGAUAAGUCGGGGGUGAAAGCCUGUGGCUCAACCACAGAAUUGCCUUCGAUACUGUCGAGCUUGAGACCGGAAGAGGUAAGUGGAACUGCGAGUGUAGAGGUGAAAUUCGUAGAUAUUCGCAAGAACACCAGUGGCGAAGGCGGCUUACUGGUCCGGUUCUGACGCUGAGGCGCGAAAGCCAGGGGAGCGAACGGG